CAAUGGUCUCUUCCAGCUCGCCUCCUCUUCCUCCACUUCCUCUUCUUCCUGGAGAUCUUGUCCGCCAAGCGCCACGGGAACCAUGUCGUCGUGGGCACGUCGUUCGCGACCAUGAUGACGAAGAAGGUGCCGCGGGGGGGGCCGUCGGCGGCAGUGGAAGCGCGCCGGCCGCGCCUUCGUCACGCCGCGCGGAAGCACCACUGAGAGCGGCCAGCUCGCUUUUUGCUUUUGCUUUCCUUUCUCGAUGCCUUUUUGAUUUGGCAAGCAGGUGCGUGCCCGAUCUGCACACGAGCUGAGCGUCGGGCAUCGUGAACGCGCACGCAGAGAAGCGGCAAGAUGAUGUGCGAGGUGAUGCCCACCAUCAGCGAGGACGCGGCGCCGAGCCAGCGCGGCUCGCAGAGCGGCUCGUCCGACCCGGACUCGCACUUUGAGCAGCUGAUGGUCAACAUGCUGGACGAGCGCGACCGCCUGCUGGACACGCUGAGGGAGACGCAGGAGAGCCUGGCCCUGUCCCAGCAGCACCUGCAGGACGUCAUCUACGACCGAGAUUCGCUGCAGAGGCAGCUCAGCUCCGCCCUGCCGCAGGAGUUUGCGUCGCUCACCAAGGAGCUCAACGCCUGCCGGGAGCAGCUGCUGGAGAAGGAAGAGGAGAUCUCGGAGCUGAAGGCCGAGAGGAACAACACCAGGUUGCUGUUGGAGCACCUGGAAUGUCUGGUGUCGCGGCACGAGCGCUCGCUGCGCAUGACGGUGGUCAAGAGGCAGGCGCAGUCGCCCUCGGGCGUCUCCAGCGAGGUGGAGGUCCUCAAGGCCCUCAAGUCCUUGUUUGAACACCACAAAGCCCUCGACGAGAAGGUGCGCGAGCGACUGCGCGUGUCGCUGGAGAGGGUGUCCGCCUUGGAGGAGGAGCUUACGGCAGCCAACCAGGAGAUCGUGGCCUUACGCGAGCAGAAUGCUCACAUCCAGAGGAAGGUGGCGUCGGGCGAAGCCGGCGACGACGUCCCGGAGGGAGGCGAGGCGCAGCCGAAGGUCCGCGGCAAGCGGCUGUCCAACGGCUCGCUGGAGUCGGCGCGCGAGGCGGGCCAAGUGGCGGAGCUGCAGGACCUGCUGGAGAAGCAGAACUACGAGCUGGCGCAGAUGAAGGAGCGCAUGUCGUCGCUGUCGUCGCGCGUCUCCGAGGUGGAGCAGGAGCUGGAGACGGCCCGCAAGGACCUCAUCAAGUCCGAGGAGAUGAACAGCAAGUACCAGCGGGACAUCAAAGAGGCCAUGUGCCAGAAGGAGGACAUGGAGGAGCGCAUCGUCACGCUGGAGAAGCGCUACCUGAGCGCCCAGCGCGAGUCCACAUCGGUGCACGACAUCAACGACAAGCUGGAGAACGAGCUGGCCAACAAGGAGGCCUUCCUCAGGCAGAUGGAGGAGAAGAACCGGCAGCUGCAAGAGAGGCUGGAGCUGGCCGAGCAGAAGCUGCAGCAGACCAUGCGCAAGGCCGAGACGCUGCCCGAGGUGGAGGCCGAGCUGGCCCAGAGGAUCGCCGCGCUCACCAAGGCAGAAGAGCGUCACGGCAACGUCGAGGAGCGCAUGCGCCACCUGGAAUGCCAGCUGGAGGAGAAAAACCAGGAGCUGCUACGGGCUCGCCAGCGAGAGAAGAUGAACGAGGAGCACAACAAGCGUCUCUCGGACACGGUGGACCGCCUCCUCACCGAGUCCAACGAGCGCUUGCAGCUGCACCUGAAGGAACGCAUGGCGGCGCUGGAAGAGAAGAAUUUACUCAUCCAAGACUCGGAGGGCUACAGGAAGCGGUACGAGGAGUCCUUACACGAGAAGACGCAUUUGGCCGAGGAAAUUGAAAAGCUGCGGUCGGAGCUGGACCAGUUCAGGUUGAGGGCGGGAUCCCUCACGGAGCCCACCAUGUCGCGGUCUCACCUGGACACUUCGGGCGAGCUCCGGUUCUCCCUGGGCUCCCUGGCCGAGACCCAGUCGGACCACUACCGCUCGGCCAAGGUCAUACGGAGGCCCAGGCGAGGUCGCGUGGGCCUGCGCGAAAGCAAGGCCAAGUCUCUGGGCGAGCAAGAGUGGCGCUCGCAGCAGCUGGGCGUGGCGGGCGGCGCCCACCAUUUUGAGAGCGACACGGAGAUGUCCGACAUGGACGACGACGACCGGGAGACGCUCUUCAGCUCCAUGGACCUGCUCUCGCCCGGCGGCCACUCGGACGCGCAAACUUUGGCCAUGAUGCUUCAGGAGCAGCUGGACGCCAUCAACAAGGAGAUCCGGCUGAUCCAGGAGGAGAAGGAGUCGACGGAGCUGCGCGCCGAGGAGAUUGAGAGCCGCGUGGCCAGCGUCAGCCUGGAGGGGCUCAACCUGGCCCGCAUGCACCCCCACCCCCACCACCACCACCACCACGGGGCCUCAAUCACCGCCUCGGCCACCGCCUCCUCCCUGGCGUCCUCCUCGCCGCCCAGCGGGCACUCCACCCCCAAGCUGGACCCCCGCAGCCCCGCCCGGGACAUGGAGCGCAUGGGGGUCAUGACCCUGCCCAGCGAUUUGCGGAAACACAGGAGAAAGAUCGCGGCGGUGGAAGACGACGGGCGCGAGGACAAGGCCACCAUCAAAUGCGAGACGUCUCCGCCCGCCACGCCGCGCAGCGCCCGGAUGACGCGCACCCUCCCGGCGUCCUCGCACAACGACGCCCGAGGCCUGGAAGGCCCCCCGAGCAGCGCGGCCAGCAGCCAGGACUCUCUGCACAAGCAGCCCAAGAAGAAAGGCAUCAAGUCGUCCAUCGGCCGCCUCUUCGGCAAGAAGGAGAAGGGCCGGCCGGCGCGGCCGCCGCACAGACACCUCGCGCCGGAUCCGCAAGCCAUCGCCGCGGAGUCGGAGGGGGCGGGCCAGGACGCGGGGCCGGGCAAGCUGGGCGCGCAGGCCGACAGGGACCGCCGCUUGAGAAAGAAACACGAGCUGCUGGAAGAAGCCAGGAGGAAGGGCCUACCUUUCGCGCAGUGGGACGGACCCACCGUGGUGGCCUGGUUGGAGCUGUGGCUGGGAAUGCCGGCCUGGUACGUGGCGGCCUGUCGCGCCAACGUCAAGAGCGGCGCCAUCAUGUCGGCGCUGUCCGACACGGAGAUCCAGCGCGAGAUCGGCAUCAGCAACCCCCUGCACCGACUCAAACUGCGGCUGGCCAUCCAGGAAAUGGUCUCGCUCACCAGCCCGUCGGCGCCCCCUACCUCCAGAACUCCGUCGGGCAACGUGUGGGUGACCCACGAGGAGAUGGAGACCAUGGCGGCCCCCUCCAAAACGAAAUCCCAGUCGGACGAGGGGAGCUGGGCACAGACGCUGGCUUACGGCGACAUGAACCACGAGUGGAUCGGCAACGAGUGGCUGCCCAGUCUCGGACUACCUCAGUACCGCAGCUACUUCAUGGAGUGCCUGGUGGACGCGCGCAUGCUGGACCACCUGACCAAGAAGGACCUGAGGGUGCAUCUCAAAAUGGUGGACAGCUUCCACAGAACAAGUUUACAAUAUGGCAUCAUGUGUCUAAAGAAGCUCAACUACGACCGGAAAGAGUUGGAACGGCGGCGGGAGACGAGCCAGCACGAAAUGAGAGACGUCCUGGUGUGGAGCAACGAGCGGGUGGUCCGCUGGGUGCAGAGUAUCGGCCUGCGGGACUACGCCGGUAUCCUGCACGAGAGUGGCGUGCACGGAGCGCUGGUCGCCCUGGACGACAACUUUGACUACAGCAGCCUGGCACUGCUCCUCCAGAUCCCCAACCAGAACACUCAAGCCCGUCAGAUUCUGGAGCGCGAGUACAAUAAUCUGUUGGCGCUGGGCACCGAGCGGCGGCUGGACGAGUGCGACGACAAAGACUUCCGCGGCCCGUCGUGGAGGCGGCAGUUUCCGCCGCGGGACGUGCACGGCAUCAGCAUGAUGCCCGGCUCGGCCGAGACUCUGCCGGCCGGCUUCCGUCUCACCGCCACGUCGGGCCGCUCGCGCCGGCUCCCGCCCGACGUCCUUAACGAGGCGCUGGACGACGUGUAUUUGGAUUGGUUCUAAGCGGGAGCCUUGCCGAUUCAGCGCCUGGACAGCUCCACGGUGAGAACCUACUCGUGCUGAGGAGAUGGACCUAAAAGUGUACCGCUGCCCAGUUCUGAACGGAGCUGCACCCGCCCGGGGUGGUUUCCCCCGUGGGUGAGGUUGAGGGGGGGGGGGUGUCGGAGGGCUACGCCAUCGGGAUAACCUUGCACUGCCAAGAAGCCCCUCGUCCCUCUGCCUAUCGCACCAGCCCACCUCUCGUUUCUCAAAUGUGGACGCCAGCCUGCUGCCCCCUCCGGUGCUAAACUCAAAAAAAAAAAAAAAACUUUUAAAAGCCAUUUAAAAAAUUUUACUGGCACAAAUUGGCAGAUGUACUGUAUAUGGUUUGGCCAUUUUGACGGCAGAGGCUGCACUCGCUUUAUGGUCAAGUUGAUGAAUUUGGUGGCUUCCCAUUUGCCAUCAAAGUCUCCUCCACACUCUUCACAUCACCGAUUUUUAAACGGGCCCCAUUUUGAAGAAAAGAAAUAUGGGCAAAAAUUUGGUGAUUUUGCUGGCCUCCCAUUGCCACAAAAAAAACGGCCUUGAGUUGCUCGCUCGUUUUACUUUCUACAUUUCGCCAGGUUGCCAAUGAGACCCAUUUUGAAAAAGUCAAAUGGUGUCACAUUUGCAUUUUCAACGCCGAUAGCGUCCACUUUGGAUCAAGUCAGGGAUUUUGAUGAGCUGCCACAGCCACAAAAAUAAAAUGGCGUCGAGUUUCCCUCCUGCAGCGGGCUGGUCGCCAUUUUCCGAAAGCGUACUGUGUAUUUAAAGUAGCUUAUGUAAAUUCGUAAUGAUAUGACUUUUAUUAUAUGUGUAAAAAAAAAGAGCAAACAUGAAGUUAGUGGAAACAAAGAUAAAUAAUGUGCUGCUCUUGGA